AAAAACUCUGUGCAACAUUGUUAUUUGACUUCACUCAGUUCUAUAGAAUAGUACAGCGAGGCUAUGCAGUCCUUGCAAUACUAAUGAAGAAAUGCCCUUUACACAGACUAUUUUUCCUUAUAUUUUACAGUUCAGCUUUUAUGUCUACAUCCAGCAUACAAGCAAGGUACCAGCAUCGCAUACAAAAAGGUUGGAAACUUGAGAUAAACUUCCACAGAAGAAUAACAAAGUAUUAAUUCUCCUAUGAAGGCUGCAGUUUGCCUGCAGACAGAAGAAAGCAACUCCUUCCAGUCUGCUUGUUCCCUGGCUCGAUGCUGGACAAAAAACGAAGAAAAUUUUAGUGCUCCAUCUUCUGCACCAAUGCACCAUUCAGCACAUUGAAUUCCUCCACCAGAUAAAGGGUGUACAAGACUGAAGUGUGACUUUCUGGCUUGAGACAACCAGAAAGAUGCUACUCAAGUCUCCGUGCUUGACUGCAAAUUAAAUCACUGCUAUCCUUCUGUUGCUCUUUUGAAAAAUGAAGAGAAGAAUAUUUACUUUACACAAUAUGCAGAGAUCUGCUCAGAAAGCACUGAUGUUAUAAGCCGUUUAGCAGUCCUACCAUAUACAAUUUGCCAUGAAGUCCAGGAAAGGUAGGGAUCCUCACUUCAGAGCAUGCAGCCUCAAAGAAUUUAGCCAUCUUAUUUUCAAGCUUGCCAUAAGUAACAGCCUACUAAAGAUAAUUAUUUAUGUGUGACUAGUGUAUAGGUACAGAGCGAGACAUUGCUGAGGAAUAUAUAUUAAGAUGUCCUGAAGAAAAAAUCAUUAACAAAAUCAGAGCAUAACUAGUUACUAGCCAAAGUUCUGUCUCCAAGCAUGACUAAGCAUGACUGACAGUAAUGCUCUGAUUAAAUGUAUGUCCAUCCUAAAAGUGAGGGAGCUGUGAGAAACAUGGAACGCACAGAAUCCCAGAGAGAAUGACGCACAUUCAUCUUGUCUAUGCUUGCAGAAUCAUCAGCCUUGAGUAAGGAAAGACAUACAAUUAUACUUUC
rnacentral:lncRNA from 1 species